UACAGAGGUCUCAAGCGUUGUUCGGAUUCAUUGGGCGUAAAGGGUGCGUAGGCGGCCCGGUAAGUCGGGUGUGAAAUCUCGGGGCUUAACUCCGAAACUGCAUUCGAUACUGCCGUGCUUGAGGACUGGAGAGGGGAUUGGAAUACUUGGUGUAGCAGUGAAAUGCGUAGAUAUCAAGUGGAACACCAGUGGCGAAGGCGAAUCCCUGGAAAAUACCUGACACUGAGGCACGAAAGCUAGGGGAGCAAACAGG
rnacentral:rRNA from 1 species